GUAGGUGGCAAGCGUUGUCCGGAAUUAUUGGGCGUAAAGCGCGCGCAGGCGGUUUUUUAAGUCUGAUGUGAAAGCCCACGGCUCAACCGUGGAGGGUCAUUGGAAACUGGAGAACUUGAGUACAGAAGAGGAAAGCGGAAUUCCACGUGUAGCGGUGAAAUGCGUAGAGAUGUGGAGGAACACCAGUGGCGAAGGCGGCUUUCUGGUCUGUAACUGACGCUGAGGCGCGAAAGCGUGGGGAGCAAACAGGGAUUAGAUACCCUGGUACGUCCACGCCGUAAACGAUGAGUGCUAAGUGUUAGGGGGUUUCCCGCCCCUUAGUGCUGCAGCUAACGCAUUAAGCACUCCGCCUGGGGAGUACGGCCCGCAAGGCUG
rnacentral:rRNA from 1 species